rnacentral:rRNA from 1 species
UCGCGCGAGAAAGCCCCUUCGGGGGUGAGUAAAGCGGCGGACGGGUGAGUAACGCGUGGACAACCUACCCCGGGGUUGGGGAUAACCCUGCGAAAGCGGGGCUAAUACCGAAUACGCUGUUUUCUUCCUGAGUGAUUUGUUUCACCGAGGAAGAAAAUGGGAAAGGUGGCCUCUGGAUCAAGCUACCGCCCCGGGAUGGGUUCGCGUCCCAUUAGCUUGUUGGUGGGGUAAAGGCCUACCAAGGCGACGAUGGGUAGCCGGCCUGAGAGGGUGAUCGGCCACACUGGGACUGGAACACGGCCCAGACUCCUACGGGAGGCAGCAGUGGGGAAUCUUGGGCAAUGGGCGCAAGCCUGACCCAGCGACGCCGCGUGUGGGAAGAAGGCCUUCGGGUCGUAAACCACUGUCAGGAGGGAAGAAAAGCAGAUUCCGAACAGGGGUCUGUAUUGACGGUACCUCCAGAGGAAGCACCGGCCAACUCCGUGCCAGCAGCCGCGGUAAUACGGAGGGUGCAAGCGUUAUUCGGAAUCACUGGGCGUAAAGCGCGCGUAGGCGGCUGCGCAAGUCAGAUGUGAAAGCCCUCGGCUAAACCGGGGAAUUGCAUCUGAAACUGCGUAGCUAGAGUUCGGGAGAGGGCGGCGGAACUCCCGGUGUAGGGGUGAGAUCCGUAGAUAUCGGGAGGA